rnacentral:rRNA from 1 species
GACGAACCGUGCAAACGUUGUUCGGAAUCACUGGGCUUAAAGGGCGCGUAGGCGGCUUGCCAAGUCAGGGGUGAAAUCUUUCGGCUUAACCGGAAAAGUGCCUCUGAUACUGGCGAGCUAGAGGGAGGUAGGGGCAUGUGGAACUUCCGGUGGAGCGGUGAAAUGCGUUGAUAUCGGAAGGAACGCCGGUGGCGAAAGCGACGUGCUGGAUCUCUUCUGACGCUGAGGCGCGAAAGCUAGGGGAGCGAACAGG